rnacentral:rRNA from 1 species
AUGAACGCUGGCGGCGUGCCUAAUACAUGCAAGUCGAGCGAACAGACGAGGAGCUUGCUCCUCUGACGUUAGCGGCGGACGGGUGAGUAACACGUGGAUAACCUACCUAUAAACUGGGAUAACUUCGGGAAACCGGAGCUAAUACCGGAUAAUAUAUUGAACCGCAUGGUUCAAUAGUGAAAGACGGUUUUGCUGUCACUUAUAGAUGGAUCCGCGCCGCAUUAGCUAGUUGGUAAGGUAACGGCUUACCAAGGCAACGAUGCGUAGCCGACCUGAGAGGGUGAUCGGCCACACUGGAACUAAGACACGGUCCAGACUCCUACGGGAGGCAGCAGUAGGGAAUCUUCCGCAAUGGGCGAAAGCCUGACGGAGCAACGCCGCGUGAGUGAUGAAGGUCUUCGGAUCGUAAAACUCUGUUAUUAGGGAAGAACAAAUGUGUAAGUAACUAUGCACGUCUUGACGGUACCUAAUCAGAAAGCCACGGCUAACUACGUG